rnacentral:tRNA from 1 species
GACGAGCGAGCACGCGUCGUUCGAGAGCGCCGGCGGCAGCAUCGGCUCGACGGUCCCGGGGACGUAGACGCUGGUGCCGCGCCAGCGCGCGUCGCC